rnacentral:lncRNA from 1 species
UCCAAGGUCUCUCUGCAUAAUGUCUGGCUUUUGGUAUUCAUGUCCCUCUGCUGCAGGAGGAAGCCUCUCUGAUGGCUGAGUAAGGCACCAAUCUGUGAGUAUAGCAGGGUAUCAUCUUUAGGACUCAUUCUGUACUGCCUUUCAAAUGCCCUUCAGCUCUAGCUGUCUCUCCCCUCAUUCCCUCCCUCAAUCCCAUCUUUCCUCUGCCUUCCCACCUGAUCAUCCCAUUCUUGCCCCUCCCCUUCUCUUCUAUUCCACUAAUAAUAUCUAUUUCCCCUCCUAGGGAGAUCAUGUGUCCCCCAAGUCUCCUCCUCUAUGCCUAUCCUUUCUGGGUCUAUGAAUUAUAGGUUAUUAUAACUUAUUUAAUGGCUAAUAUCUAGAUAUAAUUGAAUAUAUGCCAUAUUUACCUCUCUGGGUCUAGGUUACCUCACUCAGGAUAUUUUUUUUCUAGUUCCAUUUAUUUGUCUGCAAAUUUCAUGAUGUCACUUUUUUUUAAACAGCUGAGUAAUACUCCAUUGUGUAAAUGCACCAUAUUUUCUUUGUCCAUUCUUCUGUUGAGGGAUGUCUACGUUGUUUCCAAUUUCUGGCUAUUAUGAAUAGAGCAGCAAUGAAUAUGGUUGAGCAGGUGUCCUUGUGGUAAGAUGAAGUAUCGUUUGGGUAUAUGCCCAAGAGCAAUAUAGCUGAAUGUUGAGGUAGAUCGAUUCCCAUCUUUCUGAGGAUCUGUCAUACUGAUUUCCAUAGUCACUGUUUUAAGUUUGCAGCCCCAUUAGCAACAGAGGAGUGUUUCCCUUGCUCCACAUCCUUGCUAGCAUGAGCUGUCACUUAGACAUAUGUCUCUUAUCAAACUUAGUUUUGAGGAGUUGGGGAUUGGCUUAGGGGCUAAAUGUUGCCUUGCAUGUAGCAUGCAAGUUCUGAAAAAAAAAAAAAGCCAAGCAUGAUGACACAUACUUACAGUUCAGUGCUGGGGAAGUGGAGGCAGGUUCCUGGGUCUGCUGCCUACCUGGUGAUGUCUAGGUCAGUGAGAGACACUGUCUCACUGGGGAUGGCAUUUGAGGAAUGAUACCCAAAGUUGUUCCCUGGCCUCCACAGGCAUGCUCACACACCUGUAUGGAACCUCACACCAGUGCUUAGCCAUAUACUAAGCACAUACCAGCAUACCAGCAUGUGUCCACACACUAGUGAGAGAAUAGCAUGGAGAACUCCCCUUUGCCCUGAUUGUGACCAUUGCCCUGAUCUGCUGCCUUGUAUUUGUUGAGCCAUUUGGAACAAGUUACCCUUGAAAGAAUAUAACUAUGUGUGUUUCCUAAGCAAUACACAAUUCUUAAAAGACUAGAAGACAAAAUGCAAUCAAUAGUUAUAUAGAACCCUUAUUCGAUGUCACCUAUUGUUGGACCCUAGAGUAUUUCUAUUUUUCCAGUCUAGGAUCCAACACAAAAUCAUAUAUUGCUUCUAGUUGUUGGGUUCCUUGAAUCAUCUUCAAGUUACAAUAGUUUCUUAGCUGCUUUGUUUUACAUUGCAGACCCUGUUUGUGUGUGUGUGAAAGAGAGAGAGAGUGCAUGCAUGUGCACGUGUGCUUGUACAUAUGUGUAUGAAUGUGCAUGCAUGCAUAUAGGUGCUUGUACAUGUGAGUGGAGAUGUGUACACCUAUGGAGGCAAAGGUCAAUGAUGGUUGUCUUCUAUCUUUCUCCACCUUAGGUUUUGAGACAGGGUCUCACUGAACCCAGAACUCUCUGUUUCAGCUACCCUGGUUGGUUAGCAAGCCCUGGGUCCUCUUGUCUCUCUGGGGUUACCUUUGUGUUCUUUGAUGCCAAUGUUUUACAUGGGGAUCUGAGCUCAAGUCCUCAGUCUUGAACAGCAAGAUUUGAUGCACUGAGCCAUUUCCCUUCUGCUUUUUGUGUUUUAUAGGUUUUCUAUGUGGCUCAUGCUACCCUGGAGCUGGCUAUGUUGCCCAUGGUGACAUUUACUUAUCUAUCUAUCUAUCUAUCUAUCUAUCUAUCUAUCUAUCUAUCUAUCUAUCUAUCUUUCUAUCUAUCUAUCCAGUUUUGGUUUUCUGAGACAGGGUUUCUCUGUGGCUUUAGAGGCUGUCCUGGAACUAGCUCUUGUAGACCAGGCUAGUCUUGAACUCACAGAGAUCCCUCUGCCUCUGCCUCCCAAGUGCUGGGACUAAAGGUGUGCGCCACCACCACCUGGCUACCCAUGGUGGCUUUUAAAAUUACAAAUCUUUUUGCUUCAGCCUCUCAAGUGCUGGAGUACAGGCGUGUACACUGACAUUGGAGUACACUGGCCCAGUUAUAAAGUGUCCUGCAAUCUAAGCUUGCCGUUUUUCUCAUGUUUUGAUUUAAAUUAUACAUGGCUCUAUUAUCACAAAUGCAUUAAGAGAUGCUAUUUACCUCCAUCACUACUGGUGCUGUUUACUUUUUUGAAACAGUGUCAUGUAGCUCAGGCAGACCUUAAGCUGAGGAUGACCUUGAGUUCACUAUCCUCCUGCCUCUUUGCCUCUUGAAUGCUGAGAUUACCGACAUCACACAGUCACUGUUCUAUUGCUAUGAAGAGACACCAUGAUCAAGGCAAUUUAUAAGAGGAAGCAUUUAAUUGGGGGCUUGCUUAUGAUUUUAGAGGGUUAGCUCAUUUCUCUUGUGGCAGGAAGCCUGGUACUGGAGCUGAGAGCCAACAUUAUCCCUAAUUUGCAGAAGGCAGAGAGAGAAAGACAGGCUUGGUGUGGUAGUUUUGAAACCUUAACCCCUCCCACCUCCCCCAGUGAUGCACCUCUUCUAACAAGGCCACACUUCCUAAUCCUUCCUAAAUAGUCUACCAACUAGGAACCAGACAUUGAAAUAUAUGAGCCUAUGGGGGCCAUUCUUACUCAAACUCCAAGCCUGGGGACUGAACCUAUUGGUUUCAUAUAUACUAGAUAAAUACUGGGCUUCGUUUCCAUUCCCUAGAGAUUAGCUAAGACUUCAGCACGAUAGAAAGCUUAACAUUUAUAAGCAUCCAAAAACUUGCCAGCUUCAUGCAAGUGUGAUGAUCCACUUGCUUUUGAAUGCAGACUUUUUGUAGAACUUAUGUUUCUUGGUAGUAGUCUCCAAUCCUUGUUAGCGUUUUGACUCCUGGGAAUCCAAAUUGAGAGCUUGGGAGAAUGCCCCUGUCCCUAAAAGGGGUCCAAACUUUGUCCCCAUUCUGACAAGGUCCUCUUGUUUGGGGAAAAACCUUCUAUCCCCAUCUGAUAAAUUUAGGCAGAUCUGGCCUGCCCUGGGCCCAGAACUUUAGGGUAAUCCUACUUUGUCUCAUCUCUGGCUGUGUCCUACUUGACUAGAUGAGGAUUCCAGAAGCUAAGGAGGCAUGGCCUCCCAGAGCCACCCCCUAUUUAAUUCUCUGAGCACUAGGACUCAAUACCAGCCACCCUGCCCAUGCCAGGUAAAUCCUAAAGAUGGCUGUCAGACCCCCCUUUUAAAAAUUAAAAGUUAGAUGAUGGGUGUGGUGGUGCAUAUAUGUAGUUCCAACACCUUUGCGGUGGAAGCAAGAAGAUCAGGAGUUCAAGUCAUAUCCCUUGGCCGGUAUCGGGAGUUCAAAGCCACCUGGGUUACAUGAGACCUUGUCUUAAAAAAACAAACUAAAACCAAGUAAACAAAAAGUCUAGAUCUAAUUGGUCCACUUCUGUGGGGCUCGUAGAAAGCACCUGCAUUUCCUUCCAGCCAGUCCUCAUCCUUGAGCUCUGUCUGACUUCGGUGGACACCAGUGUGCACAUCGUAACUGGCAUUCUGUGGCUUCACAGAGCAGGAAGAUGAGCUAGAGGAAGUAGAAGUUGAAGCCCAGCCAGCCCUUGACCUCCAAAUAGGAAAAGGUUGAGAAGGCAGUGUUCAUGUUCAGACACCAACCACUGUUAGCUACUGCUGCCAACACCAAAUAUUCAUCCUCAACCAUCUGGUUCUGUCAGCACUCCCCUCCCCAAGGUCAAGAUUAAUAAUGUCUUCUGAGAAGUUAAAAGAGAACCCUCAGCCUUAUCCGCUGGCCUCUCCACGUGGAUCCCGUGACAAGAAGACUUCUGAUUCCCUGGCCGUGACAAGCACUGUUAGCCAGAAAAACGAUGCCAACAACAGGACUCAGAAGUUUAAUGAAAUGCACCUGGCCGACCUACAGAAGGUUUUUGAGGCGGAGACAGAUGAGCAUGGAGGCUCCUGGACACUAGCCCUGGUGGCUGGAUGAGCAAGGUCAUGUUGGUGCCUUCCUGUUUACCAUGUGUCCUCCAAGCCAGGGAGUUCUUGCAUCAUGGGAGGCCCAUGGCUCUGAAGAGACCUCCUUCCCUUCUCCUGAGGAUUUGCAAGUGCAGAGGCAGUUUUCCUUUACCUAUCUUCCUGCAGUGCUCAUAAACUGUCAUUGUCACCAUCUGGGCAUGGAAGGGGCAUGGAGCACUACUUACAACAUGUAAGUCUCUUGGCCCCAGCUUUACAUACUUGAGACGGGCAUCUCUCCAAACAAG